rnacentral:rRNA from 1 species
AUUGAACGCUGGCGGCAGGCCUAACACAUGCAAGUCGAGCGAGCGGCGGACGGGUGCGUACUGUAUGGGGACUGCCCGUUAGCGGGGGAUCACUACUGGAAACGGUAGCUAUACCGCAUAGUAUCGGGUAACCCAUAUCGGAUUAGGGAGUAGGUGAGGUAAUGGCUCACCUAGGCGACGAUCCCUAGCUGGUCUGAGAGGAUGAUCAGCCACACUGGGACUGAGACACGGCCCAGACUCCUACGGAGGCAGCAGUGGGGAAUAUUGCACAAUGGGCGAAAGCCUGAUGCAGCCAUGCCGCGUGUAUGAAGAAGGCCCUAGGGUUGUAAAGUACUUUCAGUCGGGAGGCGUUACCGACAGAAGAAGCACCGGCUAACUCCGUGCCAGCAGCCGCGGUAAUAC